GGUGUGUGCUACGAUCGAACAGGAGAAAGGAAAAAGGGGGUGUGAACCCUAAACCUCAAGAAAUCAUCAAAUUGAAAAGGGAAUCAAGGGCUGAUUGUAUGCACGAACCAAGGAUGAUGAUCCCUUAAGCAUUUCUAACAUCAAGAGCCAUGUCAACAUGGACACGAGCAUGGAAGGGCAAUGGGUCAACGGUAAAUACGGAAGCUAUGCAUGAACUCGGACGCACGAGGUAGCGUUAGUUAAUUGAGCAUGGUGAUGAUUGAAGUUUGAUAUGGUUUUGGUUGUAUGAAAUCGGUUAUUUUAGCUAAGUAGACCGAACGGGACAAUAUAAAGUUGUAAUGAUAUGACAGAUUGAUGUAAUGCUAUGGUAUUGUAACCGGGUAAUGGGUAGAAUUGCACAUAAGUGCGCCAACCUAGAAUGGGGACUUAGGUUAAUGGUCAAAAGACUUAGCUUUUGACCUUAAAUAAAAGAAUGGUUUAACAAAAUACGAACAGGUCGAAUAAAUGUCCAUAAACUUCAUAAUGCUAAUGAAAUGCGUAAAGAUUAAGGACCCGGGUAAGGGCGUUUAGCCCAUAAUGUAAGGACAAGUCUUACGGACAACUAGAAAUAAUUGUGAGCAAUUUGAUUGAGGAAUGUCCGAGAUACGCAAGUUUUAAUAAUAAAAAUAUGAAUGGGUUGAAUAGUCGAAACGAGUAUGUAGAGCCGAAGGCUUUAAGUUAAGAUUUUUCCUUGUUUGGAUGUUAUAUUACAAGCUCAUAUUAGAAAAUCGAUUUACCAACGCAUAGGAAAAAGAAUCAUGUUAAUCGGAUUCGUAGAUCAAAAGUUAUGCAAAUUGUAAGUCGAAAAUACCCUUGGAAUUCAUAGCUGGGAAUUUACAGCAGCAAAUUGGAAGUUUCUGUCGAAAUAGAGCUGUCGCGCCCCGCGAGCGCCAGUCAGCUGGCAAAUUUUGGUUUUCUUGUUUGAUUUUGCAUCCGGACUCGAUGUUUUAAUGAUUUUCGAUGUCCCUUAACUUAUAUUAAAGCCGGUUUGAAACACGAGUGAUGUUAUGAGCCUCCGGAUAAUGAAAGUAUGUAUUUUUCUUCGUGUUAGAGAAGAAAGAUUAUAAGUAAUCGAGACUAGAAAUGAGUGGGCAUGCAGUAUGGUAAGUAUAAAACUUAUAUCACGGAAGUUGCGAUUAUGAUAAGAAAUGCGAGAUUAAGUGAAUAAAAGUAGUAAGCGAGGGCUCGCGUCUAUGUGUGUGUAUGUGAAUGUGUGCGUAUGUAUGUAAGUGUAUAUGUUGUAUGUAUGUAGGAAUUAGGAACGUAUACGUUUAUGGAUGCGAGAUGUUAUAAGUAUAUGAAGGAAUGGUUUGGACUGGUUUCAUUAUGUUCUAGCAUUAAUGUUUGCUAAUCGUGUGUUUGAGAUUGGAAUGAAAUGCAGGUACAUGAACACCGGGUUCAUGAAGUAUCGAAGUCGAAUUCGGAACAAGAAAAUACGAAAGGAUAGUUGAAUGAAUUAAAGUUCCUACUGUUAAAUGUUAUUCAAUAUUGGAGUAUAUGAGAAUCAUGUCGUAUGAUAUUGUUAAUGACUAAUGGUUAUGAUGUAUGCGAUGUCCACAGGUAUUGCACGGAUUACCGCUACUACUACCGAAGAUAAGCAAGCGUUGAUCGAGUCACGGAGCAAGGGUUGUACGGAAAUAUGUAUUGUCUUGAAGCGUUAAUUUAAUGUGGUUAUUGUAAAUCCCUUUUGUAAAUGUUUAUCAUUUGUAUUUGAGCCUUCAAGUAAGUAAUGUGUCUAAAUAAGAAAGAAAUUUUUGG
rnacentral:lncRNA from 1 species